rnacentral:rRNA from 1 species
ACGCUGGCGGCAGGCCUAACACAUGCAAGUCGAGCGGUAGAGAGAAGCUUGCUUCUCUUGAGAGCGGCGGACGGGUGAGUAAUGCCUAGGAAUCUGCCUGGUAGUGGGGGAUAACGUCCGGAAACGGACGCUAAUACCGCAUACGUCCUACGGGAGAAAGCAGGGGACCUUCGGGCCUUGCGCUAUCAGAUGAGCCUAGGUCGGAUUAGCUAGUUGGUGGGGUAAUGGCUCACCAAGGCGACGAUCCGUAACUGGUCUGAGAGGAUGAUCAGUCACACUGGAACUGAGACACGGUCCAGACUCCUACGGGAGGCAGCAGUGGGGAAUAUUGGACAAUGGGCGAAAGCCUGAUCCAGCCAUGCCGCGUGUGUGAAGAAGGUCUUCGGAUUGUAAAGCACUUUAAGUUGGGAGGAAGGGCAGUUACCUAAUACGUGAUUGUUUUGACGUUACCGACAGAAUAAGCACCGGCUAACUCUGUGCCAGCAGCCGCGGUAAUACAGAGGGUGCAAGCGUUAAUCGGAAUUACUGGGCGUAAAGCGCGCGUAGGUGGUUCGUUAAGUUGGAUGUGAAAUCCCCGGGCUCAACCUGGGAACUGCAUUCAAAACUGACGAGCUAGAGUAUGGUAGAGGGUGGUGGAAUUUCCUGUGUAGCGGUGAAAUGCGU